rnacentral:lncRNA from 1 species
UCAGAACCCGACGAAUAGGAUUCGAGAUAAAUAUGGACAACACGACUGAAUUGGAAAAUAUCAUACUCGAAUCAGAACCUCAAUCAUCAAUCUACAUUACACAAGUACAGCAUAAGAAACCCCCUCAACAAAAUAUUAGCCUCAGUUCUUUUCUACAAUGAUGGUAACAUUUAAAGUUUUUUUAGAUAUAUACUAAGAACAAUUAAUUUCUCCCUCUUUAUAUAUCACAAGCCUACAAAUAAAAUGAAAACCCUACAAAAGAGAAACCAUUUACAU